UACGGAGGGUGCAAGCGUUAUCCGGAAUCACUGGGUUUAAAGGGUGCGUAGGCGGACUUGUAAGUCAGAGGUGAAAUCCCAUCGCUAAACGAUGGAACUGCCUUUGAUACUGCUUGUCUUGAAUUGUGUUGAGGUUAGCGGAAUGUGGCAUGUAGCGGUGAAAUGCAUAGAUAUGCCAUAGAACACCGAUUGCGAAGGCAGCUAACUGGACAUUUAUUGACGCUGAGGCACGAAAGCGUGGGGAGCGAACAGG
rnacentral:rRNA from 1 species